UCUUCGCUUUUAGCAUUGCCCAACCACCGUCUCUUUUUUCUUCUCGUUUUUGAGGUUUUCCUUUUCUUUUCCCUUUUUUCUGAGGUUUUCCUUUUUUUUCCCCUUUUUUCUGAGGUUUUCCUUUUUUUCCCCUUUUCCUUUUUUCCCCUUUUCCUUUUUUUCCCCCUUUUCCCUUUUUCUUUUCUCCUUUUCCUAUUUUCCCUUCCCUCCCACUCCCUUUUUCCUUUCUCCCUCAAUCCUUUUUCCUCUCUUCUUUCCAUCCUUACCAAUAAAUCACCAUUUCCCCGCAUUUUUUCCCAUUUCUCCCCCUUUUUCACAUCUUUUUGGCACCCCCCCCUCCGCCCCACUGACUUCUCUCCCUUCUCUCUUCCAGCCUCCCUCCCGAUAAUCCUCCUGCAGGGAUCGCCAACAGACCUUCCUCCUCCUCCUCCCGACAUCGCGGUGACGCCGGAGAAGAGGGAAUAUCUCAUCGGGGACACGGUCUCCAUCCGGUGCUCGGCCCCCCGGUCCCGGGACAAGGUGCGGGGCUUCCAGUUCUCCAGGACGGGCGGCUGGCUGGACGUGCGGACGGCGUGGAGGACCUACACCUACACCUUCAACGUCACCGGCCCCAAGGACGGCGGCUCCCACACCUGCACCUACACCGUCGGCGACCGGUACCGCCAAGCCAGGCGCUCGCGGGAGAGCAGAGCCGUCGACAUCAACGUGAGAGGUGGGUGGCUUAAAAGCGGCGGUUUCCUCCUCAAAUUUAACGCCAGGAUGCGAGAAACCCAAAUUUUCCAUCCUCAAUUCCAUGUUGGGGUCCAUAAAUACGUUCCUCCUAACCUUAAAUGGGCAUUUUCCUCCUCAAAUUUAAGUGUGAGAUGUUGAAAACCCAGAUUUUCCAUCUUCAAUUCCAUGUUGAUGUCCAUAAAGAUGUUCCUCCUAACCUUAAAUGGGCAGUUUCCUCCUCAAAUUUAGUUUUGGGAUGUUGAAAACCCAAAUUUUCCAUCUUCAGUUCCAUGUUGAUGUCCAUCAAGAUGUUCCUUCUAACCUUAAAUGGGCAUUUUCCUCCUCAAAUUUAACUCUGGGAUGUUAAAAACCCAAAAUUUCCAUCUUCAGUUCCAUGCUGGGGUCCAUCAAGAUGUUCCUCUUAACCUUAAAUGGGCAUUUUCCUCCUCAAAAUUAACCCUGGGAUGUUAAAAACCCAAAAUUUCCAUCCUCAAUUCCAUGUUGAGGUCCAUAAAGAUGAUCCUCCUAACCUUAAAUGGGCAUUUUCCUCCUCAAAUUUAAUUCUGGGAUGUUGAAAACCCAAAUUUUCCAUCUUCAAUUCCAUGUUGGGGUCCAUAAAUAUGUUCCUCCUAACCUUAAAUGGGCAUUUUCCCCCUCAAAUUUGGUUCUGGGAUGUUGAAAACCCAAAAUUUCCAUCUUCAGUUCCAUGCUGGGGUCCAUCAAGAUGUUCCUCCUAACUUUAAAUGGGCAUUUUCCCCCUCAAAUUUAAUUCUGGGAUGUUGAAAACCCAAAUUUUCCAUCUUCAGUUCCAUGUUGAUGUCCAUAAAGAUGUUCCUCCUAACCUUAAAUGGGCAUUUUGCUCCUCAAAUUUAACUCUGGGAUGUUGAAAACCCAAAUUUUCCAUCUUCAAUUCCAUGCUGGGGUCCAUCAAGAUGUUCCUCCUAAACUCAAAUUGGCAUUUUCCUCCUCAAAUUUAAUUCUGGGAUGUUGAAAACCCAAAUUUUCCAUCUCCAAUUCCCCAUUAAAGUCCAUCAAGACGUUUCUCCUCACCUUAAAUUGGCGUUUUCCUCCUCAAAUUUAAUUCUGGGGUGUUGAAAACCCAAAUUUUCCGUCUUCAAUUCCACGUCGAGCUCCAUCAAGAUGUUCCUCCUAAACUCAA
ensembl:lncRNA